CACCUGCUCUACACCUGACAUCACGUAUGGGACGAGUUUAGUUGCAGCUGGGCCAAAGAGGGGUUUGUGGGUACCUUUGAUCGGCUGAUCGACAGCACCUGUAAAGCCCCUGGCAAGGCUGAUUUUCCGGGGCUGCAAAGCGCAGCACAGGAUCUCAGCAGCCACCAAGACUGAGGUGAUCAUUUCAAUCCAGGGGGCUUGGAGGAUUCCCCAUUCCUGUUGCGUGGUGAGUUCCCGCCUCCCCCCGGUGGAAAUGAAGACACCAGACAUGAUUAUUUAGGUUAAUGGGCAAAAAAGGCCACAACUUUAUUGGUUACAGUUAAUGAGUGGUAUUGGCUUAGGCACUGGUCCUAACCGAUUAUCCAGCUUCAGCCUGAUUGCUUGAAGACCGGGAAGGGUUAACCACCAGUAGGGGGAGUCCUGCUGAUGCACAUCAACUAGGAACUCCCCCGGGGUCACCGCUCAGGGGCGUGCCUUGGGCCCUGGCCUCCAUAGGCUUCAGAGAGGGCCACGCCUGAUGGGAAGUUCUGCUUCUGCACAUGAGUCUGGCAAACCGCUCUAAGCUGAAGCAUUCCUUCCUCACCCACCCUAGAAUCUUUAGUUCACAUUGUGUUCAUGAAACAUCGUACCCUGACCUGUUCUUAAUGCAUGGUUGACCACAUCUACGGAAUGCGAUUGUUAUGCUCUUUUAAGUUUUGCAAUAUCAAUCACUAGUAACAGUUUAAUAAGGAGGUUUUCAUACUUGUCCAACCAUGUGUUCCCAACCUUUAAUCUAUUGAUGAUUAAUGCCUAUAUGCAACCCUUGUAUUGUAUUUGUGUUAACCAAUCAGCAACAAGCACAUAUGUGGCAAUGCUGUAAUAUUCAACAAAAGGGACUCCCCGAGACAUGCUCGGCAGAUGCCUCCCAUAUGACACUUGUCAUUCGUCUGUCGUUUAUUUCAAGCCAACACACACACCCCAGAAUCCUUUACAGGACUACCCUUUGUUAUGCGGCGGAGGUGAUGGCGCUUCCUCCCCCCUUCAUCUACAUAACAAUACCCCUACCAAUGCCUAACCGCCAGUGCCGAGAAAGUUGUGACGAUUUGCUACGAUGUAGGCAAAAAAAUCAAAUGGCUGGUGCCAAUUUGCCAAGUGGAAAAAAUUCCUACCAGGCCCCUUGACGGCGACCAACCGAGGUCCAUAGCAAGGUCAAAGAAAGGACCUAAAGGGCGGCGGGGGGGGGGGACCUGAAGAGCUGCGGCGUCCAAAGAGGGAGAUCCCCGGCCACGCCAGUUUAAUAAGGUGCAAGCCCCGCCCCCCUAGGCCAGCUGAUUGGCUGGCCAGGGAAUGACGUGGCUGGGAAUUCCAUCAAUUGCAUGGAGGCUGAGAGCCAGCCCCCGCACAUGUGGAGAGGGCGUGAAGCCCGCAACUCCACCUCCUCUCAAGUUUGGAUGUGGUUUUCCUGCAUUUCAGGGGGUUGGACUAGAUAUCUCUUGGGGUCCCUUCCAACUCUACAAUUCUAUGAUUCUAUGACCAUAGCUCAGUGGUAGAGCAUGCAGAAGAUAUCAGGUCCAAUAGCCAGCAUCUCCGGGUAUAGCUGGGAAAGGCUCCUGCCAAUCACCCUGGAGACUGGCUGCCAGUCUGUGUAGACAAUAGUGAGCUAGAUGGACUGAGUUGGCAUCAGGCAGCUUCCUAUGUCCCCACGAUUGCUGUGCAGUCAGCAGCACAGUCAUGUGCUGUCCCAAGAGCUCUCACUCUGUCCAUUUCUCACAGCUAUUAUUACAGGAACAUUGUGCAGGUAUACAAAGCUAUACAAAGCCUCUCACAUGUGUGGCAAGCACAGCCUGGAAGUUGGGACAGUUCUUAUGCUGCAGCCACCAGAGACUCCUUCCAUAGGUGCAGAUGAAGCUAUCGGUUGUCUGUGUAGCCCUGCACAGUGUGCUCAAGCUGUGUUUUAUAGGCAGAGAUGAGCCAGGAGUCACCAGCCAAAACUGGUAGUCAUUAAUGCAGGAAUGGAACAGAGCUAUGGGUAAAAAAACAAAACAGGGAAAGCAACACAGAUCGCAAGUAGACAGAUUCACCUGCCCUUAGUCUGAGCCAGGGAAGAAUUAAGGGGUCAUAAUAUUCUCAAGUCUUCUGUGAGGCAAGCAUUAUGAACUCCCCGAAACUCAUAAUACCCCAGCUUGGAAGUAGAGUUCUGUGGUUUUUCUAUACAUAUAGGAGGGACCUCCAUAUGUUGAUAUAAUAAUAAUAAUUUAUUAUUUAUACCCCGCCCAUCUGGCUGAGUUUCCCCAGCCACUUUGGGCGGCUCCCAGUCGAGUGUUAAAAACAAUACAGCAUUAAAUAUUAAAAACUUCCCUAAACAGGGCUGCCUUCAGAUGUCUUUUAAAGAUAGGAUAGCUGCUUAUUUCCUUGACAUCUGAAGGGAGGGCAUUCCACAGGGCGGGUACCACUACCGAGAAGGACCUCUGUCUGUUUUACUGUAACCUCACUUCUCUCAAUGAGGGAACCGCCAGAAGGCCCUCAGUGCUGGAUCUCAGUGUCCAGGCUGAACGAUGGGUGUGGAGAUGCUCCUUCAGGUAUACAGGACCGAGGCCAUUUAGGGCUUUAAAGGUCAGCACCAACACUUUGAAUUGUGCUCGGAAACGUACUGGGAGACAAUGAAGAUCUCUCAGGACCGGUGUUAUGUGGUCCCGGUGGCCACUCCCAGUCAUCAGUCUAGCUGCCGCAUUCUGGAUUAAUUGCGGUUUCCGGGUCACCUUCAAAGGUAGUCCCACGUACAGCGCAUUGCAGUAGUCCAAGCGCGAGAUAACUAGAGCAUGCACCACUCUGGCGAGACAGUCUGUGGGCAGCUAGGGUCUCAGCCUUCGUACCAGAAGGAGCUGGUAGGCAGCUGCCCUGGACACAGAAUUAACCUGCUCCUCCAUGGACAGCUGUGAGUCCAAAAUGACUCCCAGGCUGCACACCUGGUCCUUCAGGGGCACAGUUAUCCCAUUCAGGAUCAGGGAAUAGAUAGACUACAGCUCCCAACAAUCCUGACUGGCUGGGGCUGGUGGGAGUCCAACCACAUUCAGAGGGCCACAGGUUCCUGAGCCCUGCAAUAUAUAAAUAAAUAGGGACACGGGUGGUGCUGUGGUCUAAACCACUGAGCCUCUUGGGCUUGCUGAUCUGAAGGCCAGCAGUUUGAGUCCACACGAUGGGGUGAGCUCCGGUUGCUCUCUCCCAGAUUCUUCCCACCUAGCAGUUCAAAAGCAUACCAGUGCAAGUAGAUAAAUAGGUAUCGCUGUGGCGGGAAGGUAAGUGGUGUUUCUGUGCGCUCUGGCACUUUUCAUGGUCCUCCGUGCGCUGGUAGCGGUUUAUUCUUGCUGGCCACAUGACCCGGAAAGCUGUCUGUGGACAAACGCCAGCUUCCUUGGCCUGAAAAUCGAGAUGAGUGUCGUACCCCAUAGUCACCUUUGACUGGACUUCACUGUCCAGGGGUCCUUUCCAUUUUCCCUUUUCCCUAUAUCAAUAAAUCUUUGCAUAUAUUGGUGCCGCUUUGCAACAUGUCUGGCAGGGUUGCACCUAAAUAAUUCCCAUGAGAAUCAGGAUUCCUCCUUGAAAGUAUCACCAGCACUUCCAGAUUGUAAGCCAUUUUAGUUUUUGGAAUCAUUCCUUGGACAUAUAUGAUUUCAGAGAAAUUAGUCAAAGAGACUGCAGUCCUAAGCAUAUUUACGAGGGAGUAAAUCCCAUUCAACACAUUCAAAGUCCCUGGCAGGUUCUGGUCAUGGUUUUUUCCCCUUGGAAAGCCUGCCUCUCUCUCUCUCUCUCUCUCUCUCUCUCUCUCUCUCUCUCUCUGUCAUAGAUAUACUUGAAUCACUGCAAAAGCAAUCUCUGGAAGAAAAGAAAACAUGACAUCAAGCUUGGCCCUCAAACAUGCAGGAU
rnacentral:lncRNA from 1 species